UACAGAGGGUGCGAGCGUUGUCCGGAAUCAUUGGGCGUAAAGAGCGCGUAGGCGGCUAGAUAAGUCCGGUGUGAAAGUCACAGGCUCAACCUGUGAAUGCCGCUGGAACUGUCUGGCUAGAGUCCGAAGGGCGAGUGGAAUUCCUGGUGUAGCGGUGAAUGCGCAGAUAUCAGGAGGAACACCAAUGGCGAGCAGCUCGCUGGACGUACUGACGCUGAGCGCGAAGCGUGGAG
rnacentral:rRNA from 1 species